rnacentral:lncRNA from 1 species
GAGCCAGAACGGACCCUUCCUCUUUUUAAGGUGAUUUGUCUCCGGUAUUUUUACAGCAACAGGGAGCUGAUGCACACAGAGAACCUGAGAACAUCCCAGAUGAAGCCAUCACCUGAGGGCGACAGACUCGCUGCAGGGGAGGUGACGGAGAGGACAGAGCUAGGCUUAAUCCCUAAUGGCUGUGGCCUUGGAGAAUGACCCUGGUGCCUUCACCCAGGUGCCAUGCACCAGGGAGACUCCAGCCUAGGGAAGCGAGUGAGGCUAGGGUUCUAAGAAUGUGGAGAGCGCGGGUAUCAGGGACACGGGGGAGGACAGUGGCACCACAGCCUCUGUGGCUUACCAUCCAGCAGAGAAAACGGGAAGGGGCCGGGGAUUUAGCUCAGUGCCGCCGCUGCCUGACUCACAAAUGCAAGAUCCUGAGUUCGAUUUCCGGUACCAAAACAAAGGAGACAGGAAGGACAGCCCCGCCAUCAGCCUGGUGAAGGAGAGGACUGACAGGUACCACUCGGACCAGCUGCCAGGGGCCACGUGCAGAGCGCAGAGAAUGAGCUGCAGGUUGAUCAGUGGCCAAAUACCCAACCCUGAGUUGGCUUAACUGAGGUGACCACUACUGAUGUCAAUAGCUAACAAAUCCAGACAUAGGUCAGGCUCCAGCAAAAGGGGCUUAAUCGCCAUCACUGUCACCCAGCUCUGGUGUCUUCUCUUUAUCUUGCCCCUUGGCUCACCUACUCUGAUAGCCGACCUCUCCUCCUAGUGGCAAGAUGGCUGCAGUGUUUCAGCACUUACAUCUGUUAGGCCUUGUGGCCAUCAAGAAAGAAGGAAUAUCUCUGGUUCACUCUGGAUCAUAUCCAUCUCUGAGCCCACAGCUGUGGGCAAGGGAAAGCAGGGCAGCAUGGACUAGUGGGUGGUUCUCAAAGAGAGUCAGGGUGAGUUAACAAAAAAGGAAACGGAUGCUGGUCUACAAAGGACUUCCAGCAAAGAGGCACCAAAGCUACAGUAAUAAUAAUAAUUAAUAAUAAAUAAUAAUUGACAUCCCUGAGCAC